rnacentral:tRNA from 1 species
GCCGGGGUGGCGGAAUCGGUAGACGCGCCGGACUCAAAAUCCGGUACUAGUGAUAGUGUGAGGGUUCGAGUCCCUCCCCCGGCACCA